GCCAGGUGUGGUGGUGCGCCUGUAGUCCCAGCUACUCAGGAGGCUGAGGUGGGAGAAUCACUUGAGCCCAGGAAGUCAGGGCUGCAGUGAGCCAUGAUUGCGCCACUGCACUCCAGCCUGGGUGACAGAGUGAGACUCUGUCUCAG
rnacentral:SRP_RNA from 1 species